GGUUUUAUUGUAUGCUCAAAAACAUGAAGGCUGUUUUUUAAACUUGGAUUCAGUGACAGAAAGUCCUUGCGUAGUUUAUGGUAGGCUUUUAACGCCUGUUAUUAAAAUAAAAAUCAUGUUUGAUAUGUCUGCCUGUCUUGUUAAAUACUAUGGCUUGGUUUUAUUGGGAUUAAUUUUCAAACACCGAUCUUAAUCCAUCAAGUUUACUUUGAAGUCCUUUUGCUGAAGUUGAAAAAAUGGCAAGAUUAUCAGCAUAUGUAUAGUAAAGAAUAGACUGGUCGUGAAUAAACAACAGCUGGAUCAGGGGAACUUUUAACACAAUCAGGAAGUUCAUUUAUAAAAAUUUAAACAAAUUUGGACUCAAAUUGUCUCCCUGUUUUACUCCAACUUUAGUUCUAAAGAUAUCUCUUACCAUACUCUCUAACUAUAUUCAAUAGCUUAAGUUUUAUCCCUGGGAGAAUGACAGUACCAAAAGCCUUCUGGAAAUCAACAAAGCAGGCAAACGUUCUAC
rnacentral:lncRNA from 1 species